UACGGAGGGUGCAAGCGUUAUCCGGAUUUACUGGGUUUAAAGGGUGCGCAGGCGGAUAUGUAAGUCAGUGGUGAAAUCUCUAGGCUUAACCUGGAAAUUGCCGUUGAUACUAUAUAUCUUGAAUGCUGUGGAGGUAAGCAGAAUAUGUCAUGUAGAGGUGAAAUGCUUAGAGAUGACAUAGAAUACCUAUUGCGAAGGCAGCUUACUACGCAGAUAUUGACGCUCAUGCACGAAAGCGUGGGGAGCAAACAGG
rnacentral:rRNA from 1 species